rnacentral:rRNA from 1 species
UGGGGAAUAUUGGACAAUGGGCGCAAGCCUGAUCCAGCAAUGCCGCGUGAGUGAUGAAGGCCUUAGGGUUGUAAAGCUCUUUCGCACGCGACGAUGAUGACGGUAGCGUGAGAAGAAGCCCCGGCUAACUUCGUGCCAGCAGCCGCGGUAAUACGAAGGGGGCUAGCGUUGUUCGGAAUUACUGGGCGUAAAGGGCGCGUAGGCGGCCUGUUUAGUCAGAAGUGAAAGCCCCGGGCUCAACCUGGGAAUAGCUUUUGAUACUGGCAGGCUUGAGUUCCGGAGAGGAUGGUGGAAUUCCCAGUGUAGAGGUGAAAAUUCGUAGAUAUUGGGAAGAACACCGGUGGCGAAGGCGGCCAUCUGGACGGACACUGACGCUGAGGCGCGAAAAGCGUGGGGAGCAAAACAGAUUAGAUACCCUGUAGUCCACGCCGUAAAACGGUGAAUGCUAGACGUCGGGGUGCAUGCACUUCGGUGUCGCCGCUAACGCAUUAAGCAUUCCGCCUGGGGAGUACGGCCGCAAGGUUAAAAACUCAAAAUG